GAUGAACGCUGGCGGCGUGCUUAACACAUGCAAGUCGAACGGAAAGGCCCAAGCUUGCUUGGGUACUCGAGUGGCGAACGGGUGAGUAACACGUGGGUGAUCUGCCCUGCACUUCGGGAUAAGCCUGGGAAACUGGGUCUAAUACCGGAUAGGACCACAUUUUGGAUGGUGUGGUGGAAAGUUUUUCGGUGUGGGAUGAGCUCGCGGCCUAUCAGCUUGUUGUUGGGGUAAUGGCCUACCAAGGCGUCGACGGGUAGCCGGCCUGAGAGGGUGUACGGCCACAUUGGGACUGAGAUACGGCCCAGACUCCUACGGGAGGCAGCAGUGGGGAAUAUUGCACAAUGGGCGCAAGCCUGAUGCAGCGACGCCGCGUGGGGGAUGACGGCCUUCGGGUUGUAAACUCCUUUCGCUAGGGACGAAGCGCAAGUGACGGUACCUGGAGAAGAAGCACCGGCUAACUACGUG
rnacentral:rRNA from 1 species